GAUGAAGAACGCAGUGAAAUGCGAUACGUAAUGUGAAUUGCAAAUUCAGUGAAUCAUCGAGUCUUUGAACGCACAUUGCGCCCCCUGGUAUUCCGGGGGGCAUGCCUGUCCGAGCGUCAUUGCUGCCCUCAAGCACGGCUUGUGUGUUGGGCCCCGUCCUCCGAUCCCGGGGGACGGGCCCGAAAGGCAGCGGCGGCACCGCGUCCGGUCCUCGAGCGUAUGGGGCUUUGUCACCCGCUCUGUAGGCCCGGCCGGCGCUUGCCGAUCAACCCAAAUUUUUUAUCCAGGUUGACCUCGGAUCAGGUAGGGAUACCCGCUGAACUUAAGCAUAUCAAUAAGCGGAGGA
rnacentral:misc_RNA from 1 species